CCUACGGGCGGCAGCAGUGGGGAAUAUUGGGCAAUGGGCGCAAGCCUGACCCAGCAACGCCGCGUGAAGGAAGAAGGCUUUCGGGUUGUAAACUUCUUUUGACAGGGAAGAGCAGAAGACGGUACCUGUCGAAUAAGCCACGGCUAACUACGUGCCAGCAGCCGCGGUAAUACGUAGGUGGCAAGCGUUGUCCGGAUUUAUUGGGUUUAAAGGGUGCGUAGGCGGACGCUUAAGUCAGCGGUAAAAUUGCGGGGCUCAACCUCGUCGAGCCGUUGAAACUGGGUGCCUUGAGUGGGCGAGAAGUACGAGGAAUGCGUGGUGUAGCGGUGAAAUGCAUAGAUAUCACGCAGAACUCCGAUUGCGAAGGCAGCGUACGGGCGCCCAACUGACGCUGAAGCACGAAGGCGUGGGUAUCGAACAGGAUUAGAUACCCGUGUAGUC
rnacentral:rRNA from 1 species